AAUGUGGCUUGCUUUGGUAUGUGGAAGUUUCUUUCAGAUUGCUUAGUGGGAAGUGGGAACAAAAUAGAUUAUUCAGAUUGCAAAUAAAUAUAGAAAAUAGCAUUUAAUGGAUUAAAAUAAGAAUAAGCACAGGUGUCCUAGUGAUCCAUAAGUAUACAAUUAAUUUCAAUUAAAAAAUGUUAAGUACUUCAAUGCUAUAAAAAAAUAUCCAAAUCCCAAAAUUUAAUUGUUGUUCUUUUGUAUGUUUGACAACUUUAUUAUAGUUCAAUGGUGCAAUUAUUGUCUAGCUGCUUAUGAUUUCUGAGACUCCAAAGGAGUGAACAAACUGCUAUAGGAGGUAGAUAGGAAAUUAGAUAAAAUUAAUUCUGCACUACAAUUACGUUUCCUUUGCUACUGGUUUUGAUAUCUCGCUUCUUGUUAUUUCUCAUUUUCACUCUUAUAUAAGUGGCUAGACAUAACAAGUUUUACUUCAUUUAGUUUUCUAAUAUGUUAGCGUCCAUUUUGACAUCUUUACCAUGUAUGGUUUUUUAACAUUUUAGACUUAGGCCGUUAUAUUUGCAUCUAGUUAUAAUCAAAACCCCAAAUGUCAGUUCACUUCUUGUCCUUCUAUGUAUAUGCCAUAUAAUUGUUGAAAUCAAGGGCCAAGGAGUGUGGAUUGAUAAACAAGUAGAUCUCCAUGUUGAAUUGGCUUGAAAUUGGGCUCUUCUUCACCAAAAUGAGCCAUUUUGGUUUGGUUUGCCAA
rnacentral:misc_RNA from 1 species